rnacentral:snRNA from 1 species
GGAUAUAAGAGCAGUGUGGUUGUGACAUCUGUGACCCGAGUGUUGGCUGGGGUUGAUUAAGCUGAUGUGACUGGCGAGGCGGGUAGUUCCCUUUAUCUCUCACUGCUCCAUGAGCAUUUUUCCCUAAGCUGCAUGCUCGGUCAGGCUUGCUUGAUCAGAGAGGACCUUUCUUCAGUCAGUGGUCUCUGAGUUCCCUCAAAGUCCAUUUGUAGGAGAAGAUAGGGUAGCCAGGCUUCCAAGACUCCUGACACAUCCAAAUGAGGUGCUGCAUGCGUCAGUCUGCCUUUCUUG